rnacentral:rRNA from 1 species
UACGGAGGGUGCAAGCGUUAUCCGGAUUCACUGGGUUUAAAGGGUGCGUAGGUGGAAUGACAAGUCAGUGGUGAAAACCUGCAGCUUAACUGUAGAACUGCCAUUGAUACUGUUAUUCUUGAGUACAUUUGAUGUGAGUGGAAUGUGUCGUGUAGCGGUGAAAUGCUUAGAUAUGACACAGAACACCAAUUGCGAAGGCAGCUCACAAAACUGUAACUGACACUGAGGCACGAAAGCGUGGGGAUCAAACAGG